GGGUUUCAGAAGAACCCCAAAUGGUGAGAAAGGCUUGAAAAUCGAUCUAAGCAGGAGAAGACAAGAUCAGGCUUCAAUGGGCUUGGCUGGCCAGAGCAAGGUCAAAGAUGACCGGACACAGCUGUAGAGUUGAAAUCAACCAAGGUCUAGACCACACUUCUUUGAGGUCUGGCCUUGACACCACGAUAAUCGGGCUUGUAGGAGUCGUAGGAAGUAAAUACAGGCCUCUAAUGGAUUUGGAAGCUAUGGAUUUGGAUGGUUUCAUGGUGGUGUUUGAAGGUGACAGCUAGGGUUUCUGAGAGAGAAUUGGGAGAGGGUGAAUUCAAAU
rnacentral:lncRNA from 1 species